rnacentral:lncRNA from 1 species
AGCACGAAGUUGGAGA